rnacentral:rRNA from 1 species
AUACGUAGGGGGCGAGCGUUGUCCGGAAUGAUUGGGCGUAAAGGGCGCGUAGGCGGCUUUGCAAGUCAGUAGUGGAAGUCCAUUUUUCAAGGAUGGAAGUGCUACAGAAACUGCGGAGCUUGAGUGCAGGAGAGGUUAUCGGAAUUCCCGGUGAAGCGGUGAACUGCGUAGAGAUCGGGAGGAACACCAGUGGCGAAGGCGGGUAACUGGACUGCAACUGACGCUGAGGCGCGAAAGUGUGGGGAGCAAACAGGAUUAGAUACCCUGGUAGUCCACACUGUAAACGAUGAAUGCUAGGUGUAGGAGGUAUCGACCCCUUCUGUGCCGCAGUAAACACAGUAAGCAUUCCGCCUGGGGAGUACGGUCGCAAGAUUAAAACUCAAAUGAAUUGACGGGG